rnacentral:rRNA from 1 species
GUCGAGCGGGGUCCAUUCUUGUGGCAACACAGGAAGACCUACGGCGAACGGGUGAGUAACACGUGAGGAACCUGCCCCGAAGACCGGGAUAACACCGGGAAACCGGUGCUAAUACCGGAUGCCCUCAGAGAGUCGCAUGGCUCUUUAAGGAAAUGGAUUCCGCUUCGGGAGGGUCUCGCGGCCUAUCAGCUUGUUGGUGGGGUAACGGCCCACCAAGGCUCCGACGGGUAGCUGGUCUGAGAGGCCGACCAGCCACACUGGGACUGAGACACGGCCCAGACUCCUACGGGAGGCUAGCAGUGGGGAAUCUUGCGCAAUGGGCGAAAGCCUGACGCAGCAACGCCGCGUGGGGGACGAAGGCCUUCGGGUUGUAAACCACAUUUCAGCAGGGACGAACAGACGGGCUCUGCAGA